rnacentral:rRNA from 1 species
AUGGAAAAAGGGAAGAAAAAGAAAAAGAAGAAGGUGAAGCUCAGGUCUUUCAAGCCAGAGGACAUGAAAGCACCAAUAUUCAAAUUGGGUAUGAAGUUCCCUACUGCAGCUGAUCUUAGAAGGGCAAUUCGAGAGUACGCUAUUCAGAAUAGAGUUGCAAUCAAGUAUGCAAAGAAUGAUAAACAAAGAAUUAGGGCACACUGCUCGGAUGACUGUCCAUGGUAUUUAUUCGCAGCACCUGACAGCAGAACCACAAGUUUUGUGGUGAAAACUUAUGUGGGGGAUCACACCUGCAGUAAAGAAUGGGAGGUCAAUGGAUUCACAUCAAGAUAUCUAGCAGGCAAGUAUUUGGAGAACUUCAGGGCAGACGAAAAGAUGACAUUGAUGAAUUUUGCAAGGUUGGUGCAGAAGGACUACAACAUGAUCCCUACAAGGAGCAAGCUAGCAAGAGCAAGAAGGAUAGCAAUAAAGCAGAUUCAUGGAGAUGAGGAGAAACAAUACUCGAUGAUGUGGGACUAUGCAUAA